rnacentral:tRNA from 1 species
UCCCAGGUGACCUAGUGGGUUGAAGAUCCUGCAUUGUUACUGCUGUGGCUCAGGUUUGAUCCCUGGCUUGGGAA